rnacentral:rRNA from 1 species
AGUGAACGCUGGCGGUAGGCCUAACACAUGCAAGUCGAACGGCAGCACAGUAAGAGCUUGCUCUUACGGGUGGCGAGUGGCGGACGGGUGAGGAAUACAUCGGAAUCUACUUUUUCGUGGGGGAUAACGUAGGGAAACUUACGCUAAUACCGCAUGCGACCUACGGGUGAAGGCAGGGGAUCUUCGGACCUUGCGCGAUUGAAUGAGCCGAUGUCGGAUUAGCUAGUUGGCGGGGUAAAGGCCCACCAAGGCGACGAUCCGUAGCUGGUCUGAGAGGAUGAUCGGCCACACUGGAACUGAGACACGGUCCAGACUCCUACGGGAGGCAGCAGUGGGGAAUAUUGGACAAUGGGCGCAAGCCUGAUCCAGCCAUACCGCGUGAGUGAAGAAGGCCUUCGGGUUGUAAAGCCCUUUUGUUGGGAAAGAAAAGCAGCAGGUUAAUACCCCGCUGUUCUGACGGUACCCAAAGAAUAAGCACCGGCUAACUUCGUG